rnacentral:rRNA from 1 species
UACAGAGGGUGCGAGCGUUAAUCGGAAUUACUGGGCGUAAAGCGUGCGCAGGCGGUUCGUUGUGUCCGUCGUGAAAGCCCCGGGCUUAACCUGGGAACUGCGAUGGAAACUAGCGAGCUGGAGUGUGGCAGAGGGGGGUGGAAUUCCGCGUGUAGCAGUGAAAUGCGUAGAGAUGCGGAGGAACACCGAUGGCGAAGGCAGCCCCCCUGGGCUAACACUGACGCUCAGGCACGAAAGCGUGGGGAGCAAACAGG